GACGAACGCUGGCGGCGUGCCUAAUACAUGCAAGUAGGACGCAGUUGCGACCGUGUGAGUAACGCGUCGGUCCCUCCCUAUUAGAGGGGGAUAACUAUUGGAAACGAUAGCUAAUACCGCAUACUUGUCGAUGGACCUGCGUUGUAUUUGCUAGUAGGUAGGGUAAUGGCCUACCUAGGCAACGAUACAUAGCCGAACUGGGAGGGUGAUCGGCCACACUGGGACGGAGACACGGCCCAGACUCCUACGGGAGGCAGCAGUAGGGAAUCUUCGGCAAUGGGGGGAACCCUGACGAAGCAACGCCGCGGGAGUGAAGAAGGUUUUCGGAUCGUAAAGCUCUGUUGUUAAGGAAGCGGUACUUAACCAGAAAGGGACGGCUAACUACGUGCCAGCCGCCGCGGUAAUAC
rnacentral:rRNA from 1 species